UUGUAAACAAACUCGAGCUCGAAGACGCACACUGUAUACGUACGAUGUCGCAUUUAGUCUAUUCUAAAGCAGUCCAGAAACAUACAUGGGAGAUUCGUUAGAAGUAAAACGGCAGUUAUAGAUCAGUCUGCAUCCGAUAUUCUCACAAGUGAGUGGCAGACAAAGAAAAUUACAGACAAGCAGGCACAACCACACACAUGGUGACACAGUACGUGUACUGUACAGUGUCAGACGAGAGGGGGAAAUGGAAGAAUGUUAGCGAUAUAGUACCCGAAUCUGAGGCUGCUGAUAUAGUAUUGAAUGAAUUUCUACAUUCAUUUGGUAACCACAGUGAGAGGGAUGCGUUGUGCUAUCAUCAUAUGAAGAACCAUACCAGGAAGUGCAGAUUUCUUCCUCAUGGCCACAUGGAAGUUGACUGUUAAAACUAGUUUCUGGAUAAUAACUCAAGUACUUUGCAUUCUAUUCAAACCAAAUUUGGACAUAUGGAUACAUACAGAGACGGGAAGAUGCCUAUUAAUUUUGGGGUCAGAAGGUCAAAGAUCAAGGUCACAGUGCAUGGAAAUUAGAAAAUGCUGAUGGGGGGGGCAUAUAUUUUACACAUUCUGUAGUUAUAAAUGAAUUAGUAUUGUAUAUAUGCAUAUAUUAUUUAUGUUUUCUGAUUAUUUAUCAUAUAAUGAAAUAGAUAUAUAGAAUUUGUAAAUAUGAAUUGAAAAAUACACAUUUUAUAACAAAUCGUAUAUUGCUAUUGUUUAGAAUGUAAGUCAGUGUAAGAAGGGGGGUGGGGACACAAAAUGGUUCAAAUCUUUGUUCCAAUGCACACUACCCCACACAUUUUUUUUCAUUUAAAUUAAGCAAAAAUAUGAUUCAAAUCUGCAUUAGUAAUUUCAGAAAACGUUUGAUACAGAUAUUCUCCCUAGGUUGAAUUUUUUGAUGAAAUAGGUCUUCAAAUUUGUGUGAUAUUUUAUACAAUUAUGUUAAUUACUACUUGAUUUUUUGUAGAAUUGGUGAUAUAUUUUAUGUAAAAGUUAUUGAAAUAAUCAAUUAUGCUUAAUUUUCAUAAAAUAAAAGAAAGCCAAGAUUAUUCUGUCCUUAAUAUUUGUUUUAUAGUAUGUUUAAUGUGAAAAUUGGUGGUUUUCAUGAAAAAUUAAGUUUCACCAAAGGGGCAACUUUAAGGGGCUGUAAUUCUUUAAAGUCCACACUAACAUACUCUUUUUUAUGUUUUAAAUGUCUUUCGGAUAAAGAUGUAUCGGUUAAAAUGGUUUAUCAAAAAAGUUUGAUACUUCUGAAAAAAUUCAAACCAGGAGAGAACAUCCUUAAUAGUGAUGACAGAUUUAUUAUUAUUGGUUUGGUCAAAGUUUGUACAAUGGUAAUGUCAAUAUUUAAAAUAAAACCCCAGAUUUUCCUUCCACUAGCAACCUGACAAUAUACUGUACUUAUGUUAUAUUUUAACCAUUCAUUACCUGUUUUUUAUUGUUUGUAUUACAUGUUUGUACAUUUAGGCCUCACGUGAGGCCAAAAAGUGAAAUAAAAGUUUCAAAGUUUCAACUUAUUUAA